GCGAGGCCAUCGGAGGGCUCCCAGCCCCCUCUGAGGCCACCUUCCCGAUCCUGAGGCCAGAACAGAGCUCGGGGGGUCUUCCAGGGUCCAUAGGUCGCUGGAGCACACAGGGAGUGGCCUGCAGGAGGCGACCGCAGGUGUCCUCUAGGGGAUGUAGAGGGCUGAGGAGUGAGCACUUGAGUGACGCUUACCUGCUGGACCUUGACCUGCAGUGUCCCAGGGCGGCCCUGACCUUGUAGCUCUUACUGCUGGGGGUGGGACAGCCAGUCACCCCCCGGGAUCCCUGGCCAGUGACUUCUUGCUAGGUCUGAAGUGGGAGGCACUGACCAGAGACUAAAAAGCAAGAGGUGGGGAGAAGCUCCCUGCUCUGGCUUUGACGUGGCUGGUGAUUGCCGUGGUGACGGCAGAGGUGGUCCGGUUCCAGAUGCUCACAGUCAGGGCAGCAGCAGCUUCUUCUCAUCGGCCCCUCUGGGAUUCGGCCUCUUCUGGGAAUAAAGACUGAGCAUGGCCACGUCUCCAGCAGCAGGUGCAGAAGCUUCUACUGCAGUACCUGACACGCAGGCAUCAGAGGGAGAGCUGCCGAGCGCUGGCCCUGCCCUUGAAGGCUGGGGGGGUUGGACUCUGUGCUACACCUGCUCUUCCGACUGCCCGCGGGAGCAGUUUCGGGGCUGAGGCAGUUUCCUUCAGAAACGUCAUUGCCUAAGCAGAGGAAGACCCUUUGCCUGCAGCCGUCCCCAGGACUGUCAGUGGGGCAGAACUGACAUGGGCCC